GUUUUUUUAGGUUUUGAUUUUU
rnacentral:miRNA from 10 species